CCUACGGGAGGCUGCAGUGGGGAAUAUUGGGCAAUGGAGGUAACUCUUACCCAGCAAUGCCGCGUGAAUGAAGAAGGUCUUCGGAUUGUAAAGUUCUUUAAUUGGGGACGAAAAAAAUGACGGUACCCAAGGAAUAAGCCCAGGCUAACUACGUGCCAGCAGAAGCGGCAAUACGGAGGGGGCAAGCGUUGGUCGGAAUGACUGGGCGUAAGGGGUGUGUAGGCGGUGUAGCAAGUUAGAAGUGAAAUACCUAGGGCUUAACACAGGGUCUGCUUCUAAAACUGCUAGACUUGAGUGCAGGAGAGGAAAGCGGAAGGCCUAGUGUAGCGGUGAAAUGCGUAGAUAUUAGGAGGAACAGCAGUGGCGAAGGCGGCUUUCUGGACUGUAACUGACGCUGAGGCACGAAAGUGUGGGGAGCAAACAGGAUUAGAUACCCUAGUAGUC
rnacentral:rRNA from 1 species